UUACUGAAAUACCCUGAAUUUCGAUCCCCCAUUCCAAACAUGAUUGUCACAAUUGUCCGUCUCCAAGACCCUCGAAACCACGACUGCCAUAAGCGUCAGAGCCCAUGUGCUUAGUUAGAGCGAAAUGUGUAUCCAAGAAAAUUCAUACUGCGAUUCGUCAGAAGGAGGUUAAUAAGUUUUAAGUUGACGAAGCAAAAAGUUUUUUCUUAUCAAGUUCAACGCUUUUUGAUCAUUGAAUGCCAAUAAAAUACAUAUUUAACUUUG